ACCAAUAAAUUAAGUUAUAUUGGUAAAAAGACAGUUAAAUAAUAUUAAGGUAAAAAAUCUGUGAAAUCUUUUAGGGAAACUGGGAUUGGAUACCCCAUUAUAAGAAAUAAAUAUACCAGAGCACUACAAAUUUAAAACUCAAAGAACUUGGCGGUAUUUUAGACCAUUUAGGGGAAUUUGUCUCAUAAUCGACACUCCACGCUAGACCUUACCUUCUUUCAGUUUGUAUACCGUUGUUAUCAGGCAACUUUAAAUAAAAGUUGGCUAUAUAUGCUUCUAUAUCAAAUCAAGGUGCAGCCUAUGAGGGGGCGAAGAUGGAUUACAAUUAUUGAAGGAGGACUUAAUAGUAAUCUAUAAAAAAAAUUUGAAUCGGCUCUAUAAUGUG
rnacentral:rRNA from 1 species